GUUAGCUCAGUUGGUUGGGUGCCAGACUGCAAAGCGGGAGGUCACUGGUUCAAAUCCCAGCCAAGCCACCA